rnacentral:rRNA from 1 species
CCCGGCUUACCAACCCGAUGCAAACUGCGAAUACCGGAGAAUGUUAUCACGGGAGACACACGGCGGGUGCUAACGUCCGUCGUGAAGAGGGAAACAACCCAGACCGCCAGCUAAGGUCCCAAAGUCAUGGUUAAGUGGGAAACGAUGUGGGAAGGCCCAGACAGCCAGGAUGUUGGCUUAGAAGCAGCCAUCAUUUAAAGAAAGCGUAAUAGCUCACUGGUCGAGUCGGCCUGCGCGGAAGAUGUAACGGGGCUAAACCAUGCACCGAAGCUGCGGCAGCGACACUGUGUGUUGUUGGGUA